UCCCCGAUUGAUUCUGUCGGCGGUUAUAUGCUUGUCUCAAAGGCUAAGCCAUGCAUGUCUAAGUUCAAAUAACCUAUAAUGGUGAAACCGCGAACGGCUCAUUAUAACAGCUAUAAUGUACUUGAUGUUGAAUUAUCUAACGUGGAUAACUGUGGCAAUUCUAGAGCUAAUACAUGCACCAAAGCUCAAACUAAAAGGAUGAGCGCAUCUAUUAGAAUGAAUAAACCAAUGGGGUUUGUAAAAGAACUCAUAAAAUAAUUGGUGAAUCUGAAUAGCUAUAGCUGAUCGCAUGGUCUUGUACCGGCGACGUAUCUCACAAGUGUCUGCCUUAUCAACUUUCGAUGGUAGUUUAUGUGCCUACCAUGGUUGUAACGGGUAACGGAGAAUAAGGGUUCGACUCCGGAGAGGGAGCCUGAGAAACGGCUACCACAUCCAAGGAAGGCAGCAGGCGCGCAAAUUACCCACUCUCGGCAUGAGGAGGUAGUGACGAAAAAUAACGAGACCGUUCUCUUUGAGGCCGGUUAUCGGAAUGGGUACAAUUUAAACCUGUUAACGAGGAUCUAUGAGAGGGCAAGUCUGGUGCCAGCAGCCGCGGUAAUUCCAGCUCUCAAAGUGUAUAUCGUCAUUGCUGCGGUUAAAAAGCUCGUAGUUGGAUCUGCGUCUUAGGACUUGGUCCAUCCGAUUGGAUGUGAACUAAGAACCUAGACUAAUAUUUAGCUAGUUUUACUGUAUGUUACCUUAAUUGGUUGCAUAUAGUGGCUGGCAUGUUUACCUUGAAAAAAUUAGAGUGCUUAACGCGGGCUUAUAAUGCUUGAAUACUCGUGCAUGGAAUAAUGAAAUAGGAUCUUGAUUGUUGUAUGCCUAUUUUGUUGGUUUAAAACAUAAAUACAAUUGAGAUAAUGGUUAAGAGGGACGGACGGGGGCAUUCGUAUCGCUGCGUGAGAGGUGAAAUUCUUGGACCGUAGCGAGACGCCCAACUGCGAAAGCAUUUGCCAAGAAUGUCUUCAUUAAUCAAGAACGAAAGUCAGAGGUUCGAAGGCGAUCAGAUACCGCCCUAGUUCUGACCGUAAACGAUACCAACUAGCGUUCCGUUGGCGGUAAAUACGCCUUGACGGGCAGCUUCCCGGAAACGAAAGUUUUUCGGUUCCGGGGGAAGUAUGGUUGCAAAGCUGAAACUUAAAGAAAUUGACGGAAGGGCACCACCAGGAGUGGAGCCUGCGGCUUAAUUUGACUCAACACGGGAAAACUCACCUGGCCCGGACACCGUGAGGAUUGACAUAUUGAAAGCUCUUUCAUGAUUCGGUGGUUGGUGGUGCAUGGCCGUUCUUAGUUGGUGGAGUGAUUUGUCUGGUUUAUUCCGAUAACGAGCGAGACUCUAGCCUACUAAAUAGUUUAUGCUGGAUAAAUGUAUUCGUACGCUAGUCCAGACAACUUCUUAGAGGGACAAGCGGUGUUUAGCCGCAUGAAGUUGAGCAAUAACAGGUCUGUGAUGCCCUUAGAUGUCCAGGGCUGCACGCGCGCUACACUGGAGGAAUCAGCGUGCUGUAACCAUUGCUGAAAAGUUAUGGUAACCCCUUGAAAAUCCUCCUUGAUCGGGAUCGGGAAUUGCAAUUAUUUCCCUUGAACGAGGAAUUCCUAGUAAGUGUGAGUCAUCAGCUCACGUUGAUUACGUCCCUGCCCUUUGUACACACCGCCCGUCGCUGCCCGGGACUGAGCCGUUUCGAGAAAAGCGGGGACUGCUGUUUCGAUACCUUCAAAUUUCGUAAGGUGGAGAUUCUUUGGUGGAAACCGCUUUAAUCGCAGUGGCUUGAACCGGGCAAAAGUCGUAACAAGGUUUCCGUAGGUGAACCUGCGGAAGGAUCAUUA
rfam:Thelazia callipaeda genome assembly, scaffold: TCLT_contig0001594